rnacentral:lncRNA from 10 species
CCCUCCUCCUGGCUGUGGCUAUUGGUUGAGAGAUGGGCAAGUAACCCAAUCAGCACAUAAGACGCAAGAAUAUUCCUAGUGUUUCUGGUAGAGCAAGGUUUCUCCUAUCUUCCAUGGAAGCUGUUGGGAGAGACCUUCAUUGUUUCCCUGAAGGAUGUGGUAUAAAAUUGGAAUUUUGCUACCAGGAAGGGAUAGCCUGGAACUGCUCGAAGUGGGAGGACGGAAUGUUCUACAAGGAGCCUGGAGGUCAGACAGGAGCGAUGGGAAGGAACAAGGUCCUUGUGACAUCUUUGGAGCCGCUGGACCAAGCCUCACGUGAUGCUAACACUACCUCCACUCAAUAAACUCCCCAGGAGGUAAUCAAUUAGACUUGGGUUUUCCUGUCACUUGCAACGCAAAGCAUUCUAAUGGAAACUCCCUGAGGCCUAAACAAAGACUGGAUCAGACAGGAGAGCUCAGGAAUCAGGAAGACAAAAUUCUUUCAAAGGGUGUGGGAACUGGGAAAUACCCAUCGGCCCACCUGGUGCUGGGAAGACUUCAGAAAAAAGCCACCAAGGCAGAGAGCGUAGAUGAAUUUUUUGGUAUUAUUUGUCUGGACAGGAGGAAAUGUUGGCUAUUUGAAGUUUGAUUAACCAUCAAUUCCAUUCAAGUCCUCAAAUGUUUCCAUGCAGGACACUGUCACAUGGUGGAGGACACACGUAUGAGCAAGACAGCCCCUGCAGCCAGGAGCUGCUUCCAGAUACCAGACUAUGAGUUACCCAGAACCCUAUCUCCCUUCCACCAAUGGGAGCUGGCAGGAGGAGGAGAUGGACAGGAAACUUGGAAAACUCAUUCAUUCAUUCAUUCAUUCAUUCAACAAGAAAGUAUGACUCCACCCCAGGCACUAUUCCAGUCACUGGCAGUACAGAAGAGAGCAAAGACAGGGGCCAUUUGACAGCAUCUUCAGAAACCCCCACAUCAUCUAGACCCUGGGCUUCCCACCCGCCAGGCCAGGCUCUUCCUGCUAGUCCAUGCUGCCUCCUGGGGCUGCCAGUUCUUCAACCAGGCCCACGGGGCACCCACUUGCUGGCUGAAUUUCUCCCCCUGCAUCCCAGUUCUCCUCCAAGUUGGAAGAAGUCUUUGUGGUUUGGAUGAAGGAAGGGAUGAGGAGGAGGGGGACAGAGCAAAGUGUGUUUGCUGGCACCAGAAUCACAGCAGAAGCCAGUGCUGGAAACCUUCCCAAGUAUUUAGAAAUUAAAAUAAUAAAAGAAAACUGAGCAUAUGGAGUUUGUAAAGUGCUGUCCAUCUUCAAGAAGGGAUACAGCUUACUCAGAGUGCAUGGGAGAGCAGGUCGGAGUGAACGUGUCUGUGGGGUAGGGGCGAACACUCAGGCUCUCGGGUAGGAUGAGGGUCCCCAGGCUAGGCUAGCCCAAGAGGCAGGAGGAGUGUGGGAAUUCCCUUUAAGCUGCACUUUUAAAGAAGGAGAAAGAAUAUCCUCUAUGGCCCCUCCCUAACUUCACAGGCGUCCCCAGUCCUUCCCAGCCCAGGGAACGCCAACUCCCCAGCUCGACUCUGAACCAAUCUUCAGUUCUUUCUCUCCACAUCCAAAUUCUCAGCCCAAAUGCCACCUCUUCAAAGAAGCCCUCUCUGGCCACCUCAUCUGGAAGGCCACCCCUCCAGGUACUUUUUCAUCACUCUGUGUAUUUCUGCACGAACCUAUCACUAUCUAAAAUGACCACGGCCCAGUGUGGUAGCUCACGCCUAUAAUCCCAGCACUUUGAGAGGCCGAGGCGGGAGGAUCAUGAGGUCAGGAGUUCGAGACCAGCCUGGCCAACAUGAUGAAACCCCGUCUCUACUAAAAAUACAAAAAUUAGACGGGCAUGGUGGCACAUGUCUGUAAUCUCAGGUACUCGAGUGGCUAGCCAACCUGGUAAAACCCCAUCUCUACUAAAAAUACAAAAAUAGGCUGGGCAUGGUGGCGGGCACCUGCUACUGGGGAGGCUGAGGCAGGAGAAUUGCUUGAACCCGGGAGGUGGAGGUUGCAGUGAGCCGAGAUCAUGCCACUGCACUCCAGCCUGGGUGACAGAGUGAGACUCCGUCUUAAAUAAAAUAAAAUAAAAUAAAAUAAAAUAAAA